CUGUCUGUCAGUCUCUAAAACAGGUUGAUGUUGCUGGGUCUGGAGCACUACCAGACCCUGUCUGUCAGUCUCUAAAACAGUUUGAUGUUGCUGGGUCUGGAUCAGUACCAGACCCUGUCUGUCAGUCUCUAAAACAGGUUGAUGUUGCUGGGUCUGGAUCAGUACCAGACCCUGUCUGUCAGUCUCUAAAACAGGUUGAUGUUGCUGGGUCUGGAUCAGUACCAGACCCUGUCUGUCAGUCUCUAAAACAGGUUGAUGUUGCUUAGACUGAACGCGUGUUGGUUGGUGGCGUUACACUGUUGGUAUUAGUAUCACAUUUCAAUCGAUUUUAUUUUAUAAAGCCAGUUGUCACAAAGUGCUGAACAGAUACCCAACCUUAAACCCGAAAGAGCAAGCAAUGCAGAGACAGAAGCACAGGGGCUAGGAACAAGUUCCUAGAAGGCAGGAAGAAACCUUAUUGCGGAACUAGGCUCUGAUUGAUGGCCAGUCCUCUUUUGGCUGUACCGAUGAGGGAGGGGAAAUGACGAGAGGGAGCCUCUUCUGAUGAUUGAGAUGCAGCCCGGGUCAAAGCCAGGCCAUAUUAAAACUCCUCCACUUCCGUUUGUUUAUCACUCAACGUGAGGGAGGGAAAAUGAAUAGAAACAUGGAGAUGUGGCGCACUGGGCUGCGUGUUGGACGCCCACAUCACACCGCGUGAAAACCACAGCGCUCUUCUCAUCCACAUCCUGCCAGCUUGUCAACAGCACCUGGCGCCAAAUACAUACUUUAAUAGUUAGUGGUUUCGCUCCGCCGAAGCCAAAUGUGUCGACUGUGUGUGUGGGUUAUUAGUCAAAUCCAAAAGUGCAACACUUGCCCAUCUGGAACUCCAGGCUCAAGCGUAUGCUCAAAGUAUUUGUACGCUUUCUGUUGGUAGAGUGUACUGGAGUGAGUGGAGAGGGAUGGGUUGAGUAGGUUGGCUGGGACAGAUAUGUGUAACAAGAGAAAGAGGGAUGGGUGAGUAGGUUGGUUGGGACAGAUAUGUGUAACAAUAGGAAGAGGGAUGGGUGAGUAGGUUGGUUGGGACAGAUAUGUGUAACAAUAGGAAGAGGGAUGGGUGAGUAGGUUGGCUGUGACAGAUAUGUGUAACAAGAGAAAGAGGGAUGGGUGAGUAGGUUGGUUGGGACAGAUAUGUGUAACAAUAGGAAGAGGGAUGGGUGAGUAGGUUGGCUGGGACAGAUAUGUGUAACAAGAGAAAGAGGGAUGGGUGAGUAGGUUGGUUGGGACAGAUAUGUGUAACAAGAGGAAGAGGGAUGGGUGAGUAGGUUGGCUGGGACAGAUAUGUGUAACAAGAGAAAGAGGGAUGGGUGAGUAGGUUGGCUGGGACAGAUAUGUGUAACAAGAGAAAGAGGGAUGGGUGAGUAGGUUGGCUGGGACAGAUAUGUGUAACAAGAGAAAGAGGGAUGGGUGAGUAGGUUGGUUGGGACAGAUAUGUGUAACAAUAGGAAGAGGGAUGGGUGAGUAGGUUGGUUGGGACAGAUAUGUGUAACAAGAGAAAGAGGGAUGGGUGAGUAGGUUGGUUGGGACAGAUAUGUGUAACAAGAGGAAGAGGGAUGGGUGAGUAGGUUGGCUGGGACAGAUAUGUGUAACAAGAGAAAGAGGGAUGGGUGAGUAGGUUGGCUGGGACAGAUAUGUGUAACAAGAGAAAGAGGGAUGGGUGAGUAGGUUGGCUGGGACAGAUAUGUGUAACAAGAGGAAGAGGGAUGGGUGAGUAGGU